UAAAAGUCUAGCAUCAAAUGUAUAGCUAACUAUUUUAAUUUGUGAUCAGAGCAACUGAUCUCCGUUCAAUUUUUAUCAUCAAAAGUUAGUUCUAUCUUCGCAGGACCUCUGCUCUACAUACCUCCUCUCUGGUUAACGAAUGGAAUAUAAGUCUCAUUUAUCAAGUUGGUGUAAAAAUUUAGCUUGAUAAAUUAAGAAGUUGUAAACUUUAUUAUCACAAUUGCCAAGUUGACCAAAUGUUCUUCUGGUUUUAAAUGAAUUAUGUAUGAGUCUAGUAUCGUCUGGGUGUUCAAAGAUAGUUUACUGCUUGAAAAACUUAUCAAUGGACCAACUAAUUAUAAAACAGUUUUUAAUGAAAAUAAAAACGAAUUAUCAAAA
rnacentral:lncRNA from 1 species